GAAAAUCUGUGGAUUUUCGGCAGAAUUUCUGUGUAGAAUAUCUGUAGAUUUUCGGCAGAAAUUCUGCCGAAAGUCUACAGAUUCUCGGC
rnacentral:pre_miRNA from 1 species